UACGGAGGGAGCUAGCGUUGUUCGGAAUUACUGGGCGUAAAGGGCGCGUAGGCGGCCACCGCAAGUCGGUUGUGAAAUCUCCGGGCUUAACCCGGAAAGGUCAAUCGAUACUGCGGGGCUAGAGUGCAGAAGGGGCAACUGGAAUUCUCGGUGUAGCGGUGAAAUGCGUAGAUAUCGAGAGGAACACCUGCGGCGAAGGCGGGUUGCUGGGCUGACACUGACGCUGAAGCGCGAAAGCUAGGGGAGCGAACGGG
rnacentral:rRNA from 1 species